rnacentral:rRNA from 1 species
CCAAAAUCCGGGACCCUUUAAGACCGAGCACCGAGACGAGCUCGUUAGAGCGAAGUGACUGAUACCACGCUUCCAGGAAAAGCUCCUAAGCUUCAGCUUAUGCAGACCGUACCGUAAACCGACACAGGUGGGUAGGAAGAGAAUUCUCAGGCGCUUGAGAGAACUCGGGUGAAGGAACUAGGCAACAUGGCACCGUAACUUCGGGAGAAGGUGCACCCUCUUUGGUGGCUACAUGCGUAGCUGAGCUGAAGGGGGUCGCAGUGACCAGGCCGCUGCGACUGUUUAUCAAAAACACAGCACUCUGCAAACACGAAAGUGGACGUAUAGGGUGUGACGCCUGCCCGGUGCUGGAAGGUUAAUUGAUGGGGUCAGCCGCAAGGCGAAGCUCUUGAUCGAAGCCCCAGUAAACGGCGGCCGUAACAAUAACGGUCCUAAGGUAGCGAAAUUCCUUGUCGGGUAAGUUCCGACCUGCACGAAUGGCGUAACGACAGCGGCGCUGUCUCCACCCGAGACUCAGUGAAAUUGAAAUCGCUGUGAAGAUGCAGCGUUCCCUGGCAAGACGGAAAGACCCCGUGAACCUUUACUAUAGCUUUACACUGAACGUUGAGUUCGUCUGUGUAGGAUAGGUGGGAGGCUAUGAAACCUUGGCGCUAGCUGAGGUGGAGCCAUCCUUGAAAUACCACCCUGUCGUGCUUGACGUUCUAACCUGGGCCCGUAAUCCGGGUCGGGGACCGUGUAUGGUGGGUAGUUUGACUGGGGCGGUCUCCUCCCAAAGAGUAACGGAGGAGCUCGAAGGUACGCUCAGCGCGGUCGGACAUCGCGCACUGUGUGCAAAGGCAUAAGCGUGCUUGACUGCAAGAUCGACGGAUCAAGCAGGUAGGAAACUAGGACUUAGUGAUCCGGUGGUUCUGUAUGGAAGGGCCAUCGCUCAACGGAUAAAAGGUACUCCGGGGAUAACAGGCUGAUACCGCCCAAGAGUUCAUAUCGACGGCGGUGUUUGGCACCUCGAUGUCGGCUCAUCACAUCCUGGGGCUGUAGUCGGUCCCAAGGGUAUGGCUGUUCGCCAUUUAAAGUGGUACGCGAGCUGGGUUCAGAACGUCGUGAGACAGUUCGGUCCCUAUCUGCCAUGGGCGUUGGAGAUUUGAGAGGGGCUGCUCCUAGUACGAGAGGACCGGAGUGGACGAAUCCCUGGUGUUCCGGUUGUCACGCCAGUGGCAUUGCCGGGUAGCUACAUUCGGAAGCGAUAACCGCUGAAAGCAUCUAAGCGGGAAGCGCGCCUCAAGAUGAGAUCUCCCGGGACAUAAGUCCCCUAAAGGAACCAUCAAGACUAGGUGGUUGAUAGGCAGGGUGUGUAAGCACAGCAAUGUGUUGAGCUAACCUGUACUAAUGAUCCGUGUGGCUUGACCAU